GGCCCAACUGGCAGAGGCAAGCCGCUCAAGCUCAGAUUCUCGCUCUAGAUUCAGCAUCGCCACCCGGCGCCGGACGACCCCGUUCCGGCUUCAUCAUCGAGGUUGCGGGUUCGACUCCCGUCUGGGCCUCCA
rnacentral:tRNA from 1 species